GCGCUAAUGGUGCAGUGGUAGCAUACUACAUUCGGGUUGUAGUGGUCCCAGGUUCAAUCCCUGGUUAGCGCC